AAGUCAAAAUGACGGUCGGAUGAGCCAGACAUUGUCAGAAAUGAUGAAAGAGAAAUGAGGUGCAAUAAAUCUCUAAAGUAAGGGAAAAAUUCCUACAAGAAAUAACUCUCUGAAUGUACUUCUUGCACACAAUUGGUUCCCUUAUAAAACAUAGGGCAACAGGGCCGUUGGUUCAAAAAUUGAAAAGGCACCACUCUCCAGAUUCCAAAGAGGCACCACUAUCCACAUGCAACAUCACCUCAUCGAGUACUACAGAAAACUUUGCCAAAGAUCUCUGACAAAGGUUAGACACAUAAAUUUUGAAGGUCCAGUUACCCUACUAUUACCCACAAGGGUAAAGGAACAACACCAUUGCUUGAUAACUAGAAAGUCCCAAUGUGUGUCAACCUCCGUGCUCCGUGGCAAGGCAAACUGGAAAAAAUGCCCAACCUUUACUCACAUUUGAGAAAACACUCCCAACAAGAUUCCUUGCUCAAAAAAUCGAAGAGGCACCGCUCUUCGAAUCUCGACAGCUAGACUCCCAACAGGAUUACGUGCUCAAA
rnacentral:lncRNA from 1 species